rnacentral:misc_RNA from 1 species
UUUGCCGUACGCACGUCGUGG